rnacentral:sRNA from 2 species
GUUUGCACUUAUCGGGGAAGGGUGAGAACCUUCGAUUAAGGUUCGACUCGAGCGAAAGCGAGAGAACGUUGCUAAAGGCAACGGCCCGAAGGGUGAGGAGCGAAGUGACGAAUAAUCCUUCCCCCACCACCA